AACGAACGCUGGCGGCAUGCCUAAUACAUGCAAGUCGAACGAGACCUUCGGGUCUAGUGGCGCACGGGUGCGUAACGCGUGGGAAUCUGCCCUUGGGUUCGGAAUAACAGUUGGAAACGGCUGCUAAUACCGGAUGAUGACGAAAGUCCAAAGAUUUAUCGCCCAGGGAUGAGCCCGCGUAGGAUUAGCUAGUUGGUGAG
rnacentral:rRNA from 1 species